CUUAUAUAAUAUAAUUUCGUAGCUUUACUAGGAAUCAUCCACACAGCUGAAAGACUCUUCUUAACAAAUUCGCAAAAGAGAUGCCCCCAAAUGGGUCUAGUCUGGACCAAGCGGCCAACUACCUGCAGUCAUGAGUCAUCCGAGCGAAUCUUGCAGUUUGGCCCACAGUUAAAUGAUCAACAAAUCGUGGCUGGAUAUGAUUAGCAAGUCCCCCAAGUCCCCUCAGCGAAUCGUGCCGACGUCUGGAGAGUCUAUACUAUACGGAGUAUGAUUCAUCGCAGAUCGCACCAGUUCAAAACACACUCCAUGCCACAAUCUCCGCUGGGCUUUUCUUACACGACCAUGGAUCUGGGAUACUGCUCUUGGUUUAAUGCGAAACUUGUGUUUCUGCUGGCUUCUUUUGUUGCGACUGCGACUCGGAGGCGAUUUAGUCAGAAAGCAAAAAUUAUGAGACCAAUCAGGGCUGGAAUGGGCUCAGCAGUUGCUAAAUUUCUUAAUUAAACUGGUGUGAAGCCUAUAGAACUAUAGGCUUAUAAAGCAGUAUAUAUUAUUGGCACGGCACCCUUGACACUUUUAUGAGAGUAAAAUGGCUUCAGACAAACAGCUCCAAUGUUCACUAGUCUCACUCCUAACUUAGCCUACAUUAUAUUUUCAUAAAGUUCUGUAUUUUAAACACUGUUUAUACAAGAGUUAAGUAAGCUAAAAGCAAAAAAAAUAGUAAAUAGGUUCUUUCUCAUAAGUUCGAGAGGUCAUUCCAUAAGCAGAAAGACGAAAUUAUGACUUAUUAAACAUUGUUAGUAACGAAA